rnacentral:rRNA from 1 species
GUUAGAACGCUCGUAGUCGGAUUUCGGGGCGGGUCGACCGGUCUGCCGAUGGGUAUGCACUGUUCGACCCGUCCUUCCUUCCGGAGACCGUCUCACUCUUGACUGAGCUGAGGCGGGAGACGGAACGUUUACUUUGAAAAAAUCAGAGUGUUUCAAGCAGGCAGCUCGCUCUUGCAUGGAUUAGCAUGGGAUAAUGAAAUAGGACUUUGGUGCUAUUUUGUUGGUUUCGAACACCGAAGUAAUGAUGAGAAGGGACAGUCAGGGGCACUCGUAUUCCGCCGAGAGAGGUGGAAUUCUCAGACCAGCGGAAGACGAACCACUGCGAAAGCAUUUGCCAGGGAUGUUUUCACUGAUCAAGAACGAAAGUUAGGGGAUCGAAGACGAUCAGAUACCGUCGUAGUCUUAACCAUAAACCAUGCCGACUAGGGGUUGGGGGAUGUUCACAUAUUGACUCCCUCAGCACCUUACGGGAAACUAAAGUCUUUGGGUUCCGGGGGGAGUAUGGUCGCAAGGCUGAAACUUAAAGGAAUUGACGGAAGGGCACCACCAGGUAUGGAGCCUGCGGCUUAAUUUGACUCAACACGGGGAAACUUACCAGGUCCAGACAUUGUGAGGAUUGACAGAUUGAGAGCUCUUUCUUGAUUCGAUGGGUGGUGGUGCAUGGCCGUUCUUAGUUGGCGGAGUGAUUUGUCUGGUUAAUUCCGUUA